ACUCCUUAGGAAUUUGUUACACUAUUUACUAGUUACAAUAUUUACUAAACAAUGUUGCACUGUUUACAUCAUAGUAUAAUAUAAAUUUCGACCAUUUUUGCACUAUUAUGUUCAUGUUAAUACCAAUUCUGUGAAAAUUUUGUGCUACAUAACGUACUGUUACACGCUUUAGCGGAGAAUCUUGAACUCUUUUGAUCUGAGUUACACCACUUAAAGACUUCUUUAAAUAUAAAUUUCAUUUCACCCCACCUUGCGUUGCACUAUUCUCGGCGUUUAAAGUUGCAGAAUUUUUAUACGUUGUAUCCACCUCUCCAACGCACCCUUACAAGCUUAGUACGAGUCUUUUUCUAAACAUUGCACUGGUAUUACUACGGUAUUGCACUCUUACAAGUUUCGUUGCACUCG
rnacentral:lncRNA from 1 species